AGUUUGAUCCUGGCUCAGAAUGAACGUUGGCGGCGUGGAUAAGGCAUGCAAGUCGAGCGAGAACCCGCAAGGGGGAAAGCGGCAAACGGGGUAGUAAGGCGUCGGAACAAACCCUCAGAUCGAGGAUAGCCACGGGAAACUGUGGGUAAUACUCGAUAAUCUCUUCGGAGCAAAGGUUUACUGUCUGGGGACUGGCUGACGUGGUAUUAGGUAGUUGGUAGGGUAAUGGCCUACCAAGCCGACGAUGCCUAGGGGGUGUGAGAGCAUGGCCCCCACCAUUGGGACUGAGACACUGCCCAUACACCUACGGGUGGCUGCAGUCGAGAAUCUUCGGCAAUGGGCGAAAGCCUGACC
rnacentral:rRNA from 1 species